GGCCAGGUGGCGGAGUGGUUAACGCGGUAGACUCGAAUUAGCUUGUACAUCAAGUUAGUCAGCCAUCUACUUCCUUCGGGAGCGUCUGUUCGAAUCAGGCCCUGGUCG